GCCAAGGCGCAGGCCUACACAUGCAAGUCGAGCGAGAUCUUCGGAUCUAGCGGCGGACGGGUGAGUAACGCGUGGGAACGUGCCCUUCUCUACGGAAUAGUCCCGGGAAACUGGGUUUAAUACCGUAUACGCCCUUCGGGGGAAAGAUUUAUCGGAGAAGGAUCGGCCCGCGUUGGAUUAGGUAGUUGGUGGGGUAAUGGCCUACCAAGCCGACGAUCCAUAGCUGGUUUGAGAGGAUGAUCAGCCACACUGGGACUGAGACACGGCCCAGACUCCUACGGGAGGCAGCAGUGGGGAAUCUUAGACAAUGGGCGCAAGCCUGAUCUAGCCAUGCCGCGUGAGUGACGAAGGCCCUAGGGUCGUAAAGCUCUUUCACCAGGGAUGAUAAUGACAGUACCUGGAGAAGAAACCCCGGCUAACUCCGUGCCAGCAGCCGCGGUAAUACGGAGGGGGUUAGCGUUGUUCGGAAUUACUGGGCGUAAAGCGCGCGUAGGCGGGCUGUUAAGUCGGGGGUGAAAUCCCGGGGCUCAACCCCGGAACUGCCCUCGAUACUGGCAGCC
rnacentral:rRNA from 1 species